GGGGAUAUAGUUUAAUUGGUAAAACAGCGAAUUUGCACUUCGUUAAUUUGGGAUCGAGUCCUGAUAUCUCCA
rfam:Lasallia pustulata genome assembly, contig: scaffold29657_size846